rnacentral:rRNA from 1 species
UUAAGUCCCAUAACGAGCGCAACCCACGUCGUUAGUUGCCAACAGGUCAAGCUGGGAACUCUAACGAGACUGCCGGUGUAAACCGCGAGGAAGGUGUGGAUGACGUCAAAUCAGCACGGCCCUUACAUCCAGGGCUACACACGUGUUACAAUGGUCGGUACAGAGGGCAGCUACCAGGCAACUGGAUGCGAAUCUCAAAAACCGGUCUCAGUUCGGAUUGGAGUCUGCAACCCGACUCCAUGAAGCUGGAUUCGCUAGUAAUCGCGCAUCAGCCAUGGCGCGGUGAAUACGUUCCCGGGCCUU